GGUCAUAUAGUGUAGUGGUUAUCACUUGGGAUUUUGACUGCUGCUUUCGUACGCGAUGAAUUUCCCGGAACCCAGGUUCGAACCCUGGUAUGACCU